UGUCAUGUCGGAUCAUUCAAUAUUAGUAUAUGGAAAAUAACAGGGUUUUGUGUACUUACACAACAACCCCGUCAUCAUCGAGAUCAGCCGCCUCAAGAUCCGCAGGUGUCGUCUUUCUUUUAAGAGCCCAUUUGACUAACGAUUUCUGUCUCCUUUGAGUAUGCAACACAGCAAAAGUAAACAACAACUGGCCUAAAUAAAUAGUCCCCGACAAUAUCCAAAACAAAGCAAAAACCCGCCCACCUUUCGUUGAAAAACACUUAUCAAUAUAACCUAAGCUCGUGAUCGUGCCCACGACACAAUAAAACGCGUGAACAAAAUCCAAAUCCUCAACAGCAACCAAAACCGCGGUCCCGGCCCCCAUAAGAACCACCAGCAAAACAACCAACAGUAUACACUUGUUUCUAACUCUAUUUGAUUCCAUUCUUUUAAGCGUUUCUGCAGUACCAACGGUUUGAUGCAUAUGAAACGCUUUCGCAAGAAGUAGUUCUUGUUUUUCGACUAAAAGAUCUGCAGCUUUACUUAGUACCAGCCCGAUAAGAAGCAUACCAAAAAAGACAAAUAAGCAGGCGAGUAGUAUUGUAAGAUCACUACCGGGGAAAAGAUCUCCGUACCCAACAGAAGUCAUUGUGACCACUGUGAAAUAAACUGCGUCCAGAACGCUGUUUGUUUUUCGGCCUUUGAUUUGGUGUCUAAGGAAGUAAAAACAAAGCGUGCCGGUACCCAAGUAGAUGCAUAAUAUGAUGGCUACUUUUCGGUAACUUGGAUGGAGGUAGUUAAAAACAGAUUUGGGCCGUGGAAGAGAGGCGGUCGAUUUGGAUUGUGAAGGAAAUGAAUCUGAUGGUUGUGGUUGGCUAGGGGUUGUUGGUGACGUUCGGUUUCCAUCGUUUGAUGACAUGGCGGCUCGGUGUGCAACAGUUCUUGGUAGGCCUGUGAAACAAUUCAAAUGUUUGAUAUCAAAUUACUGAAACUAUACAAAGAACCUU
rnacentral:lncRNA from 1 species